GGGACGUUGAAACACAAAGGCCAAGCUUGGGUUGUGUUCGAGGACGUUUCUUCAGCAACCAGUGCGCUUCGGCAAAUGCAGGGCUUCCCAUUCUAUGACAAACCUAUGAGGAUACAAUAUGCAAAGACUAAAUCAGAUGUAAUAGCAAAGGCUGAUGGUACUUUUGUUCCGAGAGAAAGAAGAAAGAGGCAUGAGGAGAAAG